GACGAACGCUGGCGGCGUGCUUAACACAUGCAAGUCGAACGAUGAACUUGGAGCUUGCUCUGGGGGAUUAGUGGCGAACGGGUGAGUAACACGUGAUUAACCUGCCCUGGACUCUGGGAUAACUUCGAGAAAUCGGAGCUAAUACCGGAUAGGACCUUGCACCGCAUGGUGUUGGGUGGAAAGUUUUUCGGUUUGGGAUGGACUCGCGGCCUAUCAGCUUGUUGGUGAGGUAAUGGCUCACCAAGGCGUCGACGGGUAGCCGGCCUGAGAGGGUGACCGGCCAGACGGGGACUGAGACACGGCCCAGACUCCUACGGGAGGCAGGAGUGGGGAAUAUUGCAGAAUGGGCGCAAGCCUGAUGCAGCAACGCCGCGUGCGGGAUGAAGGCCUGCGGGUUGGAAACCGCUUUUAGUAGGGAAGAAGCCCUCGGGUGACGGUACCUGCAGAAAAAGGACCGGCUAACUACGUGCCAGCCGCCGCCGUACGAC
rnacentral:rRNA from 1 species